rnacentral:rRNA from 1 species
UACGUAGGGUCCGAGCGUUGUCCGGAAUUAUUGGGCGUAAAGGGCGCGUAGGCGGCUUGGUCAGUCCCGUGUGAAAUCCCUCGGCUCAACUGAGGAACUGCACGGGAAACUGCCUGGCUUGAGUUCGGGAGAGGGAAGCGGAAUUCCGGGUGUAGCGGUGAAAUGCGUAGAUAUCCGGAGGAACACCGGUGGCGAAGGCGGCUUCCUGGACCGACACUGACGCUGAGGCGCGAAAGCUAGGGGAGCAAACGGG